rnacentral:lncRNA from 1 species
UACGCUCUCAAGUAUCCGUUCGUGUAGUUGUGCGCGUAAAACUCGCAGUCCAAAACCAGAAAUUGACAGCAUCAGAACCUCAAUUCAGAAGCGUGUCCCAACUUCAAUAUUGGUCGAAAUUAUACGAGAUUGACGCCCAAACGACGGGAAUUUCGUCGGCUUUCCAGACAUGUAAAUACCGUUCAAAACUGGGUUAUGGUUUGACAAAUACAGCUCAAUUACUGGACAUAGGUCUAUACGAAAUUAUGCAGAAUUUCUUACCUUCCAACAAAUCUUUUACUUCCAACUCCUGAGCUUAAUGCUUCCAUCAGCACCCAAGUCCUCUUAAUCCUUCCAAACCUUAACUUAGUUACUUAUCUUUCUAUUGAUUGAAAAUGGUGGAUUCAAGCCUUAAUUCACGCAUGCAUGCUUCAUUUGGAAGAGAAUUAACUUGUCCCACUUACAUGGUGUUUUUAACCUUGACAGAGGAUGAAGAAAGAAUCCGGGCUGAAACUCGUGUCCACCAUGUUCCAACGGUGAUGGGUUGAGAGAAAAUGUGCAUGCAAGACUUGUGGGUUGAAGGAUUUAGGAGAAAUUGAAAAAUGGAGUUUUUGAGUGAUGGAGGGAGUGGUUCGGUUCUGGACAGAUGAGAAGGAAGGAGUCUUGUGAUUUUCUG